rnacentral:rRNA from 1 species
AAAACGACUCUCGGCAACGGAUAUCUCGGCUCUCGCAUCGAUGAAGAACGUAGCGAAAUGCGAUACUUGGUGUGAAUUGCAGAAUCCCGUGAACCAUCGAGUCUUUGAACGCAAGUUGCGCCCGAAACCCGUUAGGCCGAGGGCACGUCUGCCUGGGCGUCAAA